CUGGAAUAUAGACCAAGUUUGUUUUGUGCAGUGCAAGCAAAUAAAGGAAAACGCCAAGCAUCACUACAGACUUUUAUAUUGCUUCUCAUCCGGAUGUCCAGUCCUGGUCUAUGGGAUCACAGGAGUGCAAAAGCAUACAAUAGCACCAGCACUACCUCAAGCAAGGGGUGGUGGGAGGUAUUACACAAGACUUACAAAUUUUAGCCUGCUUGCAACAGGACACACAUAUAACUCACAUCAAUGGUAAUACGGGAGAUAGCUUAAAUUAAAAAAAAAUGGAGUGAAAAUAAGACGUAGGAUUUGUUUAGUUGCCACUUAAAGUAUAAUUUAGGAUGCUGCUAUGAAAUUACCCUCAGGGUGCUUCAUAAACAUGGUUUGCAAUUUUACUGAGCAGUGAACCUACUCUAUAUAUAUAUAUAAAGUGUACUCUCUUUUGCUAAUGUAGUCAUCAUGAAUUUAAAUUAACCAAAUGCAUGUUCUGUCAGUAAGAUGGUACAUUUGCUUACAGGAUGGAUGUUUAAAUUGCAAAGCACAUCCGAUAUUUAAUUAUUAGUACCUGUCACUCACUUGUUGGGGAUCCUGAUUGUUGUACGCACAACAUCUUUAUUCUACAAAAGAGAAUCAUACAAUUUAAAUUAUUACUUUCAUUUCUGCACUUGAGAAGGAUAAUUAUGAUAUGUUUCAAGCUUCUCUGAUGUGCCGUAAAGGUAAUUGAGAAUAUGUAUGACAGGAGACAGACUUUAGAUGUUGAACCGUCUGCCAGACUAGUAAAAUGCAAUAUUUAAGCACAGGCACAUCUGUUAAAGAUGCACAGCUCUCUGUUACAAGAUAAGCACGAAUAUUCCUGCUUCAUUUACAUUGUAACGCAAUUUGUGUAAUGCUAGAGUAGCCACAAUAUCUGUUACUAUGGAAAAAUGCCAUAUUUUUUUCGACUCAUUUGAAAAAAAUAUGGCAUUUUUCCAUAGUAACAGAUAGGGUGUAUUUAAAAUAAAAAUACAAUAAUGAAAACUUGGCUUUAAUUAUAUAUUGCUUUCAUUUAGCGAUUUUUUUUUAAUAUAUAUAUAUAUAUAUAUCACUCACAUAAAAUAAAUGAAUAUAUGUGUUGCCUAUUGUUGUCAUUUUAGGUAAAAGAGUCCAAGAAAUCCUGAAUGCAUGAUGUCACUUUAAAUAUUAAACAAAGAAAAGGAAGCCCAGCACUCCUCUUUAAAAAUCAUGGUUUUAAUAUUUUAUUGGUGGCAUCACUUUAAACACAUUGAGAAUAAGUGCUUUAUUUUUCUGCCGGUUUCCUAAACUAAACUUGUUAUACCCUGUGGAGCUGAUUUGG